rfam:Camelus ferus unplaced genomic scaffold scaffold105, whole genome shotgun sequence.
GAGGAUAUAGCUCGGUGGUAGAGCGCGUGCUUAGCAUGCAUGAAGUCCUGGGUUCAAUCCCCAGCACCUCCA